rnacentral:rRNA from 1 species
GACGAACGCUGGCGGCGUGCCUAAUACAUGCAAGUCGAGCGGGCCUCCGGAGGUGCUUGCACCUCCGGAAGGCCAGCGGCGGACGGGUGAGUAACACGUGGGCAACCUGCCUUUGAGGCCGGGAUAACACCGGGAAACCGGUGCUAAUACCGGAUACGUCCUCUUUCGCGCCUGCGAGAGGGGAGAAAGACGGUCUUUAAGGCCGUCGCUCAAAGAGGGGCCCGCGGCGCAUUAGCGGGUUGGUGGGGGAAGGGCCUACCAAGGCGACGAUGCGGUGCCGACCUGAGAGGGUGAUCGGCCACACUGGGACUGAGACACGGCCCAGACUCCUGCGGGAGGCAGCAGUAGGGAAUCAUCCGCAAUGGGCGAAAGCCUGACGGUGCAACGCCGCGUGAGUGAGGAAGGUUUUCGGAUCGUAAAGCUCUGUUGUGAGGGAAGAACAGCUUCCGGAGGAAAUGCCGGAGGUUUGCCGGUACCUCACCAGAAAGCCCCGGCUAACUACGUGCCAGCAGCCGCAGUAACAC